rnacentral:rRNA from 1 species
GGCACAAGGCUGAGUAACACGUCGAUAAUCUGCCCUACGGUCGGAGAUAACCUCGGAAACCUGAGGGUAAACUCUGAUAGGAAAGGAUGUCUGGAACGACGCCUUUCUGAAACUCGCGCCGUAGGAUGAGUCGGCGGCUGAUUAGGUCGUUGGCGGUGUAAAGGACCACCAAGCCGAAGAUCAGUAGGGGCCAUGGAAGUGGUAGCCCCCAGAAGGACACUGAGAUACUGGUCCUAGCCCUACGGGGUGCAGCAGGCGCGAAAACUCCACAAUGCACGAAAGUGUGAUGGGGGAAUCCCGAGUGCUUACAUUACGUGUAGGCUUUUGCUUAUAGUAAAAAUAUGGGCGAAUAAGUGGUGGGCAAGACUGGUGCCAGCAGCCGCGGUAACCCCAGCGCCACAAGUGGCAACCGUGUAUUUGGCCUAAAGCGUUCGUAGCUGGUCUGUUGAAUCCUUUGUGAAAUUGUUGCGCCUAACGUAACAGCGUGCAGGGGACACUCGCAGACUCGAGACCGGGAGGAGUUAGAAGUAUGUCAGGGGAGCGGUAAAAUGUGAUAAUCCUGGAUGGACUACCUGUGGCGAAGGCGUCUAACUAGAACGGAUCUGACAGUGAGGGACGAAAGCUAGGGGAGCAAACCGGAUUAGAUACCCGAGUAGUCCUAGCCGUAAACGCUGUGAGCAAGGUGUCGCAUUAUCUUCUGGAUAGUGCGGUGUCGUAACGAAGGUGUUAAGCUCACCGCCUGGGAAGUACGGUCGCAAGGCUGAAACUUAAAGGAAUUGGCGGGGGAGCACUACAAGGGGUGCGGCGUGCGGUUUAAUCUAACUCAACGCAGAGAACCUCACUAGUGGCGAUGGCAGUAUGAAGGUCAGUCUGAGGGGCUUACCUGACGGGCCCAGAGGUAGUGCAUGGCCGCCGUCAGCUCGUGCCGCAAGGGUCCUCUUAAGUGAGGCAACGAGCGAGACCUGUACCUACAAUUUCUAACGGCUAAUUUAUUAGGACCGAGCACAUUGUGGGGACUGCCCUGGAAACAGGGAGGAAGGUGCAGGCUACGGUAGGUCUGUAUGCUCCGAAUCCACUAGGCUACACGCGCGCAACAAUGGUAAGGACAAUGGGACACGACCGCGAAAGCGGAAGUUAACCCUCUAAACCUUAUCUCAGUACGGAUUGAGGGUUGCAACUCACCCUCAUGACGAUGGAAUCCCUAGUAACCAGACGUUAUCAUCGUCCGGUGAAUAUGUCCCUGCUCCUUGCACACACCGCCCGUCAAAUCAACCGAGCAGGGUUUAGGUGAACGCGUACUUCUUGGUACGUGUGAAUCUAAGCUCAGUGAGGUGGAUUAAGUCGUCACAAGGUA